ACUCAAAGGAAUUGACGGGGGCCCGCACAAGCGGUGGAGCAUGUGGUUCAAUUCGACGCAACGCGAAGAACCUUACCCAGGCUUGAACAGCGAGUGACAACCUCCGAAAGGGGGCUUCCGCAAGGACACUCGUAGAGGUGCUGCAUGGCUGUCGUCAGCUCGUGUCGUGAGAUGUUGGGUUAAGUCCCGCAACGAGCGCAACCCUUGUCUGCUGUUGCCAUCACGUUAUGGUGGGCACUCUGCAGAGACUGCCGGUGAUAAACCGGAGGAAGGUGGGGAUGACGUCAAGUCAGCAUGGCCUUUAUGUCUGGGGCUACACACGUGCUACAAUGGCCGACACAAACCGUCGCGAGCCCGCGAGGGGGAGCUAAUCGGAGAAAGUCGGUCUCAGUUCGGAUCGUAGGCUGCAACUCGCCUGCGUGAAGUUGGAAUCGCUAGUAAUCGCGGAUCAGCACGCCGCGGUGAAUACGUUCCCGGGCCUUGCACACACCGCCCGU
rnacentral:rRNA from 1 species